GGCUAACGCUGGCGGCGUGUCUUAGCCAUGCAAGUCGAGCGGACUUAUGGGGUAACUUAUAAGUCAGCGGCGGACGGCGGAGUAACACGUAGCUAACCUACCCUCUGGACGGGGAUAACCUACCGAAAGGUGGGCUAAUACCCGAUGUAGUCAUCCUGUAUAGGGGUGAUGAAAGGUGGGCUUCUGUUUACAAGCUCAUGCUGGAGGAGGGGGCUGCGGCCUAUCAGGUAGUUGGUAGGGUAAUAGCCUACCAAGCCGAUGACGGGUAGCCGGCCUGAGAGGGUGACCGGCCCGAGGGGCACUGAGAUACGGGUCCCACUCCUACGGGAGGCAGCAGGCUAGAAAUUUGGGCAAUGGGGGAAACCCUGACCCAGUGACGCCGCGUGCAGGAAGGAGCCCUUCGGGGUGUAAACUGCUGUCGUGUAGGGAGAAGGGUACUAAGGUGAACAAUCUUAGUACUUGACGGUACUACAGGAGAAGCCCAGGCUAACCUCGUGCCAGCAGCCGCGGUAAGCUACGUAGA
rnacentral:rRNA from 1 species